rnacentral:rRNA from 1 species
UACGGAAGGCAGCAGUGGGGAAUAUUGCACAAUGGGCGCAAGCCUGAUGCAGCCAUGCCGCGUGUAUGAAGAAGGCCUUCGGGUUGUAAAGUACUUUCAGUCGUGAGGAAGGUGUUAAGGUUAAUAACCUUAGCAAUUGACGUUAGCGACAGAAGAAGCACCGGCUAACUCCGUGCCAGCAGCCGCGGUAAUACGGAGGGUGCGAGCGUUAAUCGGAAUUACUGGGCGUAAAGGGCACGCAGGCGGUUAAUUAAGUUGGAUGUGAAAUCCCCGGGCUUAACCUGGGAAUGGCAUUCAAGACUGGUUAGCUAGAGUCUUGUAGAGGGGGUAGAAUUCCAUGUGUAGCGGUGAAAUGCGUAGAGAUGUGGAGGAAUACCGGUGGCGAAGGCGGCCCCUGGGACAAAGACUGACGCUCAUGUGCGAAAGCGUGGGGAGCAAAC